UUAGCUGAGAUUAAAGUCAGAAUUCUGAGGAAACAGGUUAGUCUUUUCUAUGGCCUUUUUUCUUUGUUUCUCUGUGGCCCUAAUCCUCUUCCAUAGUAAAUUUAUGAGAAAAAAGUUGUAAAUUUAUGUAACGGGGGGAUUUUUCCUAUCUGUACAAUUUUAUGUUUUUUUUUUAAUCUUUUUUUAUUGAUCCUGGUUGUGCAACCUAAAACUCCAAGGGCCCUUGAAUGGCUCAUGGCAAAUCUGCUUAUGAGUCACAGGUGUGUGUGUGAUCAAGGUGGGUUGGAGUUUUGAUCCUUUAAAAAGGAUGAACAGCUGGACCUGGACUGGAGAAAAAGAAAGAGGCGCACCACAAGAGCUGCACAAACAGUGUUGAAACACUAGCGAUGGGAGCCACACGUGUGGUGUUGUGGAACACCAGAGACGGAGGCUGCACGUGUGGUGUUUUGGAGCAUGCCAGCCCCAGGAAUUGGACAUUGUAGAGUCUGGGCUCGCCCACAUGACUGGGACAGCAAAGUGGAACCAGUGGACAAUGGAACUGGAAAGUGGAGAGGGGAUGUGACGAACUACAGCAGAGGGGUGUGGUUGCGACCCACCCCUCUUUCAGAUAAAUGGGGUUUGGACUGCAUGCUCCCCUAAUCAUCCUGGAGCAUUUGGACUGCUGGAGGCUGAACACUAUUGGACACUUGGACAAUAAACCUUUUGAAAACUUGUA